UACGGAGGGUGCGAGCGUUAAUCGGAAUUACUGGGCGUAAAGGGUGCGUAGGUGGUUUGAUAAGUUAUCUGUGAAAUUCCUGGGCUCAACCUGGGGAGGUCAGAUGGUACUGUUAGACUGGAGUAUGGGAGAGGGUGGAAGAAUUUCCGGUGUAGCGGUGAAAUGCGUAGAGAUCGGAAGGAACACCGGUGGCGAAGGCGUCCACCUGGCCUGAUACUGACACUGAGGCACGAAAGCGUGGGGAGCAAACAGG
rnacentral:rRNA from 1 species